UCUGAGCAUCUGUCCUGCCAGAUACCGUCCUUGCCACUGGGGAAGCUGUGCACUGCAGAUGGGUGUGGGGAAUAGUGUAGAGCCUGUGGAACACUCUGGCUGGCUAUUCCUCACAAAGUUAGAAGAGGGAUUACCAUGAGGCCAGGCAACUCUACUGUGAAUAUGACCGGAAGAAUCAAAGACGCGUCUGGAAGAAUCACAUGUUCAUGACAGUGCUGUUCUCGAUAGCCAGGGAGUAACUGCGGACGUGACCAUGACAGAUGGGUGAGCCAAUGUGGUGUAUCCACGGAGGGCAUCUUAUGCAGUCUUGACAAGAAAGGCGUUCUGAAGCAUUCUAUAAUGAGUGUUCCCCUGUGGACAUUAUGGUGAGUGAAAUGCACCAGACAUGUGACAAAGCACCUAGACCUUUCUGAGCUGUCUAGGGUCCCUACAAGAUGGGAGCACAGUGGUCCACUUGAACUAUUGUUCACUAGGCACAGGGGCUCAGAGCUGCAAGAUGAAGAAAGAAUUCUGGACAGGGUUGAUGUAACAGUCCUAAUGCAUUGAACACAACUGGGCUGUGUGCUUAAAGAUGGUUGCCAUGGCAAAAUUUAUAUUAUAUACAUUUUAUCACAAUUUAAGUGACGCCGAG
rnacentral:lncRNA from 1 species